rnacentral:lncRNA from 1 species
AUCAGUACUGUGCUUUUGGAGGAUUCAGAAGAAGGAGAAGUUAUAUCUGAUUGGGAGAUUGAAAAGGAUUGGCCUGAAGGACAGGUGGUUUUUGAACUGCAUCUUAAAGAAAAGGAUGGAGUCUUGCUCUGUCAUCCAGGCUGGAGUGCAAUAGCGCAAUCUCGGCUCACUGCAACCUCUGCCUCCUGGGUUCAAGCAAUUCUCCUGCCUCAGCCUCCCGAGUAGCUGAGAUUACAGGCGCCCGCCACCACACCCGGCUAACUUUUUGUAUUUUUAGUAGAGACGGGGUUUCACCAUGUUGCCUAGGCUGGUCUCGAACUCCUGACCUCAUGAUCUGCCCACCUCGGCCUCCCAAAGUGCUGGGAUUACAGCUGUGAGCCAUUGUGCCCAGCCAGUUAGGGUAUUUAUUAAAAAUUGUUUUUCCAGCUUAAAUUUAGGGAGUAAGGGUGAUUACAAGGGACAACAUAGAAAAAUUGACAGAACUCUGGCUUUGGAGGCAAACAACCCAUGGAUGGAAUCCUGGCUCCACCACUUACAAGCUGGAUGGCUUUGGUCAAGUUACUUCACUUCUCUUUCCUUCUAUUUCCCCACCCCCCAAAUAAGGAAAUGAUUAAUAAUAACUAACAUUU